rnacentral:pre_miRNA from 1 species
AUGUAGUGUAGCAUGCCCGUUUGGUGAAAUACUCUGAUGAAUAUUUGUUAUUUAAUUACUUUUGGGUAACGGGGUGUUACAAUUUG